UGUUAUUAGGGAGGCUGGGCAUGUAGGGAGGACUGGGGAUUUGGGGAGUCUCUGUACCUCCCUAUUAAUUCUGCUGUGAACCUGAAACUGCUCUGAAGAAAUGAAGCUUUGAAUCAUUUCAGAAAGCCAUGCGUUGGAACCUUUGAGCACAUUGAGAGACAGGAGCUGGAGGGACCUUUGCUCAGGGAGAUGCAGAUGGCACAGACGCCCAGUGCGUCAGGAAAAGGAAAUGGAAAGGAUGGAAAAUUGGUGCCGAGGACCAGAGCACUGGAGAGAAGGAAGAGAAGGAGCUCGUGUCUAAACAGGCUGCAGACUGCGGGAGAUGCUGCUGUGCAAACAGUAGCGGCGAUUAUAAGGAUGACUUUUUGCAGCACCAGUCACUGUAUUUUGUGAUCACCCCUGGAAAGACUCUCAGGAACCAGGACUCCAGAGCUGCUGUGGAAAGUGGCAAGGACAGUGGGCUGUGUUCAAAAUGAGGGGAAGAUUCUGAAUAGGAUUCAUGGCAAUGCAGAUGUGUUAAAUACUCAUUGUAUAUUUUGAUCGCAUCUCAUAUAAUGACAACGGCACUGCUGGAUGCCUACUACGUGUCACAAUAUUAUUCUUGGUGGUUUACUUUGGAUUAUUUUCUCCAUGCAGUUAUAAAAACCCACCAGGGAGCAGUUGUCAGCUAGAUUUUUAUGGAGAAGGACACUGGCAAUCAGUGUGAAUCUGAUCACUGCAAGUGACAGAGGAGGAACAAAAGAAGGGACAUGUCCCAAAUCCACUUGUCAGUGCUACCAUCCCAGUUCUUCUUCCUCGAUGCUCAGAUCAGCAGCAAAACCCCACUGUAGUUCAUGUGGUUGGGUUAGGGAUGGAUGACUGGGGAGUUACUGUUUCUGAGAAUCUGCAACCACCAUGCUUGGAAGAGAUGAACACUAAAAUCAGGAGACAGGAAAGGAAUUAUUCUCCCCGGUGUGUGUGUGUGUGUGGGCAUUAUCCAAGCCAUUGAUACCUUCAUUCCAAUUGGUAAGCUGUGCCUGGUGCUGAGUGGGGCACAAAGGCAGAAGUGCACUUUCACUCGGGCCUGGAUGGCCACACUCACCUUCUUGUGCCCUCAGACACCAGUACACUGGGAUCUUGGUCUUGCACACUCAGCCUGGAGCUUGCACCAACUUCCCUCAUGCUGCAGCUGUUACAGUCACAUGGAAUCACACCCACCACUCACCUGGUUCUCCAGUGUGCAAAUAGCAGCUUGUGGUACUUGUCAGUCUUGUUACCACAGGGACACGUUUUUAUAACGAGCUUCUUCAGAUUCAAACAUUUGUUUCAGGUGGCUUCUGUUUCUCUGGAGUCCUCCCUCGGGCAGAUGCUUUGUCCAGACUCUCAUUGAACAAAUAAAGGAAACCAAGGCCAUCCUUCAGCGGGGCUCGUGUGAUGCAUUUCAAGUUAUUCAACCAUUGCUUCCUCAGUUCAUUUAUAAAAAGGCACAACCACAGAACAUCCCACAAGUAGCACUUCCAGUCAGAAAAUAAGCUGGAGGCAGAAGAUGCUGAAAUUCCUUUGGGUCUCUUAAUUGUAAUUCCUUUAUGUGCUCAAAAUAAACUCUUA